GUGCUGAUCGUAAGAGCCGCUCUGGACUUGCUUAACUCGAAUCGUCAUCUGGAUCUGGUCCAUUCCAAGAAUAGGAACCCUCCGAAAACCAGUCAGGAACCCUGAAGAACACCCGCGGAGGGAAAGUGUUCAAGUUCUGUGCACUGUUUCUGUUCAUGCUGGCUCACUGGGACACUUCAAUGGAACAGAGCCGCAGCCAAGUCUCCCUAAGAAUUACCGCCAUAAUGGACAGCUCUGAAGCACACAAUUAACACUGAAUGCCAACCUUCAGUGCAAAAGUAGAAAGCAUUUUUUUAUGGAGUAAGGAAAGUUAGGGUGUGGAGGCUGCUGCAUUGCCAAUUAGGUAGGGCCCCAGAUGCCCAGGGGCCUCCAAAAGCUUCAGGUUCACUGAGUGUCAAUCAGUUUGUGGUCUGUAGUAUGGGAAUAUGUAUAAAAGCAGAAUAACAACUGACAUGAUAAGGGUCUUAGGGUGGGUCCUGUUACCUGAUCUUGAGACCCUGUGUUGUACAGGGGCCCUGUGUUAAAAUAUAGUUUUAAGACUUUCAGUAUAUUCAUUGAUAGGGUGCUUACAUGGUGCAUAUACCUAAAUGAAUUUGCGUUUAAUCAAAUUACCACACAGCAAACAGGGGUUAAUAGGGGCUUCAUUUUUGCCCCCAAGUGUUUUAGCUGCCCAACAUUAACCAUUCUGUACUUGCCAUGCACAGACAUCGUAGGAAUAAUAAAAAAAACUUUGAACGCAAUGUGGGGUUUUGCAGAAUGGUCCAAUGUAACCAUUUUGUCUGCUGAGUGGUGUUGUUUUCCUGCUAUGAUAAGUGUCAAAACAUCUGCCAGGAAAAAGGCCUAAUGAUUGGGUUCUUCUGUAUAAUGAAAGGUCUGUUACUGUACCUGCAAUGGCAAUUGGAACGAAAUGAAAUAUGUUUUCCUGUUGGCCUUAAAAAGUUUUUUUUUCACACCACAGUUAACCAUGAUGUUGCUCUGCAUCAGGUUCACUGAGUAACAUUUGUGGUGCAAAAUUAAAACAUUGACAUGAAUCAGAGGUGUGUAGACAACUAAACCAAAUACUAGUUACUGUAAUGUUGGUUAUUCCAAUUAUGACCUUAUUGGACUUACUGUAACUGGACCAUUAUGAAAUAGUCAAUGUGUAUUGAAACACACAGUCUAAAUGAGAUUUAGCCAUCAAGAUCUAUUUAGCAGUUAGUGAGGAGUUUACCUGACUAAAUGAUACAAAGCAGUAUGAUAUUAGUUGGGGAAGUAUUAUUAAACUAUGACAUGGCAGAAAGCAUA